rnacentral:rRNA from 1 species
CCCUCGAGUGGGGAAUAACGUCCGGAAACGGACGCUAAUACCGCAUAAUGCAGCGGCACCGCAAGGUGACAGUUGUUAAAGAUUUAUCGCUUGAGGAGGAGCUUGCGGCAGAUUAGCUAGUUGGUAAGGUAACGGCUUACCAAGGCUACGAUCUGUAGCCGGCCUGAGAGGGCGGUCGGCCACACUGACACUGAAUAACGGGUCAGACUCCUACGGGAGGCAGCAGUCGGGAAUUUUGGGCAAUGGGCGAAAGCCUGACCCAGCAACGCCGCGUGAAGGAUGAAGUAUUUCGGUAUGUAAACUUCGAAAGAAUAGGAAGAAUUAAUGACGGUACCACAGGAAUAAGGUCCGGCUAACUACGUGCCAGCAGCCGCGGUAAUACGUAGGGAACGAGCGUUGUUCGGAUUUACUGGGCGUAAAGCGCACGCAGGCGGUUUGGGAAGUUGGACGUGAAAACUCCUGGCUUAACUGGGAGAGGUCGUACAAAACUACCAAGCUAGAGGUUGGAAGAGGAGAGUGGAAUUCCCGGUGUAGUGGUGGAAUGCGUAGAUAUCGGGAGGAACACCAGUGGUGAAAACGGCUCUCUGGUCCAAUACUGACGCUGAGGUGCGAAAGCGUGGGGAGCGAACGGGAUUAGAUACCCCGGUAGUCCACGCUGUAAACGAUGGAUACUAGGUGUAGGGGGUCAUUUACCCCUUCUGUGCCGAAGCUAACGCGUUAAGUAUCCCGCCUGGGGACUACGGCCGCAAGGUUAAAACUCAAAGGAAUUGACGGGGGCCCGCACAAGCAGCGGAGCGUGUGGUUUAAUUCGAUGAUACGCGAAGAACCUUACCUGGGUUUGACAUAUAGGUAGUA